UGUUAAAAUUUUUAUCUAUUUUUACAAUUAAAAAUUUGUUUUUGUACCUUAGAAUAAGGUACACAUCAUGCCAGUUUUUAACUAUAAAAAUAGAUUAAAUUUUUAACA
rfam:Gossypium hirsutum cultivar TM-1 unplaced genomic scaffold scaffold1092.1, whole genome shotgun sequence